rnacentral:rRNA from 1 species
UACGAAGGGGGCUAGCGUUGCUCGGAAUUACUGGGCGUAAAGCGCACGUAGGCGGCUUUAUAAGUCGGGGGUGAAAGCCUGUGGCUCAACCACAGAAUUGCCUUCGAUACUGUAGAGCUUGAGACCGGAAGAGGUAAGUGGAACUGCGAGUGUAGAGGUGAAAUUCGUAGAUAUUCGCAAGAACACCAGUGGCGAAGGCGGCUUACUGGUCCGGUACUGACGCUGAGGUGCGAAAGCGUGGGGAGCAAACAGG